AGAGUUUGAUCAUGGCUCAGGAUGAACGCUAGCGACAGGCCUAACACAUUCAAGUCGAGGGGCAAUAUGGUAUCAGCUUGCUGAUACUGAUGGCGACCGGCGCACGGGUGAGUAACGCGUAUGUAAUCUACCUGUAACAGAGGGAUAACCCGGAGAAAUCCGGACUAAUACCUCAUAGCACAUAUUAUUCGCAUGAAUUUUAUGUUAAAGAGACUCGGUUACAGAUGAAC
rnacentral:rRNA from 1 species